GCCGGUUGUAAUGUUUUUUAAUUCAGGAACGGGGGUGAACGAAGGGGCUUGGGAGUGAUAGGAUUUUAAUUCUUUCUCGCAGGUUGAAUUUUCCCUUAUUUUCUGAGAUUCUGGUUGUAGGUAGAUCAUACUUUUUUGGGUGUAGGUAGAUUCUCAUAAUUUUUUUAUUUUUUUUUUUAAUUUUGCAAUUAUUCAGUAUUACUCCCUUCAUCCCAAAUUUUAGUAUCUAUUUGAAAGUGACACAAGUUUUAAUAAAGUGAUUGGGUGUAUUGUGAGUGGAAUAAGGAUCUCACUAUUUAUGUGAGUGUUAAAAUAAUUAAAGUGUAGCAAGGGUCCCACUUACUUUUACUUAAAAUAGAAAUGGAUACCAAAAUGUCGGACGGCCAAAAAAUGAAAGAUGGAUACUAAAAGUUUGGACGGAGGGAGUAUAAAUUUGCAAUAUGUAGAAUUCAGCUUUCUCAAGUUUUACGUGUCUACGUGUCCAUUUUCGGUCGCCACGUGGUUUUAG
rnacentral:lncRNA from 1 species